GUGAAUCAUCAAAUUUUUGAACGCAAAUUGCACUCUCUUUGGAGAGUAUGCCUGUUUGAGGGUCAGUCUUAAUAAAAUCGGGGUGUUGCUUUUUUGUGACACAACGGAGUUUGGGCUACCUUUGUCUUUCGGGUUUUAAGAGGCUCAAAAUUGAAUUUUUUUGAGCACUCUUAGACGUACACAAAUUUAUUUUAUUGUUUUUUCUGGUGCCAAUUAUCCAUUAGGUGAGAUCAUGUUAUA
rnacentral:misc_RNA from 1 species